UAAUUUGGUAGAUCACCUACAAUACAAUAUCUCUAAUUAAAGGUGCCCAUUUGAUGAUUUUUUUAUUUGACGUUCUAUAAAAUUAAUUAAAGCUGCUAUGAACCACAUUGGAGGCAUAUCAGAUGGGUUCAAAGACAGCCCCUCAAUGAAGCCUUGGAACUCAGAAAUUCGGAGAAGGGAAUUGAGGAGAGAGCAAAACUCUUUGGAAAGGGUUUACCAGAAUUGAAUGCUUUGAUUUUGGGAGAGUUUGGGGUGUUCAAGCCUAAAUCAAUCAUAAGAAUAGGUUACUGCCAUGGUCACUAUUUGUCCAUGAAGGAUGACACCAACAGACUUCUCAUGGCUACACUCGAAGAUGAGAUGGGCCAAAAUAUGAAUGAAGGACUGCAGUAUUUCAGGGAUGUUUUGUUUGUUGAAGGGGAG